AUAUCUUUCUUGGCCUUUUGGCUAAGAUCAAGUGUAGUAUUUGUUCUUAUCAAUUUAAGGGGGAUUGGAAAAAGAUCACCCUUGCCUAAAACAUCAAGCAUAGCUCAUUGGUAAUCUCUAAUAGAAACUCAAGCAUGCAGUCAAUAUUAUUAAGAAAUAAACACAUCAAGUUUUCUUUUUUAUUAGUUAUCCUUGUAAUGUACAAUGCUUGCAACCUCC
rnacentral:snRNA from 1 species